rnacentral:tRNA from 1 species
GUUCUUGUAGUUAAAUUUUGUAACGACGGCUUUUCAGGCCGUAGAUCUCGGAGAAAGGCCGGGCGAGAAUA